GAUGAAGAACGUAGCGAAAUGCGAUAAGUAAUGUGAAUUGCAGAAUUCAGUGAAUCAUCGAAUCUUUGAACGCACAUUGCGCCCGCUGGUAUUCCGGCGGGCAUGCCUGUUCGAGCGUCAUUUCAACCCUCAAGCUCUCCGGAGUUUGGUGUUGGGGCGCCUGGGGCCUUUCGACCUCAGGGCCCUCAAGUCCAUCGGCGGGACCGCCAGGACACUGAGCGCAGUAGUAUUAUUUCGCUCGGUAGGAUCUUCCACGGCGGGUCGAUCUGGCCGCUAAACCCCCCAAUUCUCACCAAAGGUUGACCUCGGAUCAGGUAGGAAUACCCGCUGAACUUAAGCAUAUCAAUAAGCGGAGGA
rnacentral:misc_RNA from 1 species